UAGAUACCCUGGUAGUCCACACCGUAAACGAUGAUUACUAGGUGUUGGAGGAUUGACCCCUUCAGUGCCGCAGUUAACACAAUAAGUAAUCCACCUGGGGAGUACGACCGCAAGGUUGAAACUCAAAGGAAUUGACGGGGGCCCGCACAAGCAGUGGAGUAUGUGGUUUAAUUCGACGCAACGCGAAGAACCUUACCAAGUCUUGACAUCCCUUGACGAACAUAGAAAUAUGUUUUCUCUUCGGAGCAAG
rnacentral:rRNA from 1 species